CACAGAUUGGUCAACUGGAAAUGCCUUGCUCCCAAGAGGCUUACUUUUGAACCAGAACCGACAAGUAAUUUCCUAGUUUAGUAGUUCUUAAGACUAGUAGAAGAACAGGGGAAGAAUGAAUCAUGGUGACUUCACAAGGGCAACAGAAUUUCAUCUCGGGGCAAAUCUAAGGAAAACCCAAAGCAGCUGGAAGACGACCGGAAACAGCAUCUUGACUUCAGCCUCAUGUAUUGAAACAUUAUCUUAUUGAAUCUUCAAGUUCAGCAAAAUGAACUCCCUUUCAUGUUAGGAAUUGAAAUUAGAGUACUCUAUUUCACCAACCAGCAGGAAACUUAUUUACAUGGUCUGGGAACAGGAGAAACAAUAGGAAACCAGAAGUUGAACCUGAGAAUCACAGUGGCAGUUCAGGAGGAAGCCUGCACUUUCUAAGAGAACGUUAGUGUCUUCCACCCUCUCCUUCACUCAGAAUAUUCAGACCAGGAUAUUAGCUGUUGGCAAAACAUUUAAUCUCUAGGGAACUCAACUUUCUCACUUCUGAAGCAAGGACUAAAUUAUUUCUACCUUUCUGGCUUUAAAUUUUGGCUCUUGGAAUAUUCUCAAUCUCCUUCAGUCAUUUUCCAUCGGUCCUGAUUCCUGGUUCUCCCUUGGAAAUUCUACUUGCUCAGAGUUUUGUGCUGUGAGCAGGCAGUGUGCUUUUGUGUCUUACACCACACCACGCUUCUACCUCCUGAGAGCUGAAGGCUAGCUUUUAUUUAAUAAAAGUCUGAGCAAACCUUAGCGCGACAGCCACAGGCCGGGGGAGCAGAAAUUAGGUAGUUUUGACACUUACCAACCUCUUCUCUUCCCACUUUUUCCAAUAAGUAUUGCUUUUCCACCCUUGCUGAUGUGAAAGGGACGGAAGACAUUGCACAGAGACAUAAGCCACCUUCCCCAACACUCCCGAGUAGCCCAGUCAGGUUGACAAGAAAUGGCCAAGUCAAGUGAAGUCUCUCAUUUCAAGCAAAGUGGUUGGAAAGGGAUGGAGCAGAGAGCUGAUGCAAAGGGCUGAUUGUAAAGAGACUUAUGGUGGUAGCAUAAAGAAUGGGCUUCAGUGAUAUUUGAUAAAACGAACUGGACCUGUGAAAUCUUGUCUUUUAAUCUCAAUAUUGGAAUAAGGGUUUGGAUUAUAAUAGCCACUGCUUCCUGUUUACCAAGUGUUCUUAGUAAGUGCCCAGUCAGUUAAUUUAUCCCCUCAGCAGCACAUAAGCACAGCCCUCUCAGAACAUGGAGCUUAUUUCACAUGGGCCAAAAACACCUGUGAGGUUAGUUUUCUAAAGCAUCUGCUCUCUUACCCUCAUAAUUACUUGGUCAUAUUGUCCUCUGUGGGGUAAACAUUAGGGACGUGGAUGUGAGUGUGUGUAUGGAGGGUAGGGGGAGGGGAGGAGACCGACCCA
rnacentral:lncRNA from 1 species